AUAAGCCUCUGGAAAUUUAUGAAAUAUUACUCAAGUUAUAGGAGGACUCCUCUAGUUACAUGCAUUAACUGUUUGUUCUAUUAACAAGGAAUAGAGGUUAGGGUGCUUUGCGAAAAAGCUAAGGAGGUUUUAAUGG